GCCAGCCGUCCUCCAGGCUAUAGCUGUAUUCUACCCUAAAAAAAGCUUUCCGUAAUACUAUGCUUCCGUUAGGACGCAAUUUUCUCGAGUUCCCCCCACCUCAGGGUGAUUUUCCCACACCCCUAACCCCAACCCCUAAGCCCACCUGCAACACCCCAUUUUCUCCUAGGCUUGUAGGAGUGGCCUGAGAGGUGCUUGCAGGGUAUUCCAUUUUGCCUUAGACAGCUUAGGAGACCAACCACAUGCCUGGAGAUCUGUAUCUAUCCUUAGGCUCCUAGUGGGAUUCACACAAAACCAGUAUGUGUGGGCACAUUCUCCUAGCAGCUCGGUGUCUUUUUGCUGUUGCAGAGGUGAUUUCCAGGCGGAGCUGACCAGUGGGGUUCUCUGGCUGAGGGGAAGACCAGCAGUCAGCUGGUGGAUGUGCUUCUGGAAGAAAUAGCAACGGGAGCUCUAAGAGAGGGAAAUGGCUUCCCUGCAUGGGUUCAUCCGCAAUUGUACGUUGACAAAUCAAGGGGAGCUAAACUGAAGGGCGUGGGAAGGCCAGAGAGACUGGAAGCCUCAGCUGUUGUGUGUGGAGAAGCUGUCAGCUUUCUAAGAGAGCAUGUAGCCAGCAAGCACAUCGUGGUGCUUUGGUACCAAGCUGAUACCACAGGCCUCAAUCUUUUUUUUGUGAAAAGGGAUCACAAGGAAAUGUGCUGAUGUUGAAGGGGGAAAGGUGGCGGGGGAAGAGAUUUGAGCAUCGAUGCCAUGGAUGUAACAGGAGAGCAGCAGCAGGACGUAGAGCACAAGCCGUUUAAACAGCACUUGGAUAAAGCUGCCAAUCGUGUGACUCCAGAAGCCGAGAGACAUGGUAAGAUGCUAUUCUGCCAUUCUUGGAUGGAUGCUCUCAUAGCCUUUCCAUCACCGUAUGCCUGCUAUGAGAUUCAUGGGAACAAGGGACGGCUGAAUUCACAGCGUUUUAAACACUACAAACUCUUGAAGAGUUUAUAGGACACAUCUAUUACACUGGCAGAUCAGACAAGCUCCUCUGUGUGUGUGUAUAUAUAUUAUACUUGGUACUUUUGUGAGGCAAGUCUUUGCCUGGUCCCUCUGAAACUGGGAGAAGGACUCAUUGAUGCAUUUCAGGAGCAAAGCUGCUGAGUGAACAGGCUUUUCCUACUAGACAUCAAGCAGCUGCUCUGGCAAAACUUGACUUUGGUUGCAUCUUUAAAUCCUAGGAGGCUGACAAAUGGGACGAGCUGGUUAAAGAGCCUCUCUCCAGGGAAGGCUCCACUGACUUGACCCUUAAGCCUAAACCCGCAUCUUACUACGUUUGCUUUGUGUGUGUUAAUGCAUACCUGAUUCAUAGAUUUCAGUUGAUUGAUCAGUUACAAGUUGGAGUAAGUGGUCCUUGGCUACAUAUACCUCUCCUCUGUGUUUUUUUACAUGUUAUGACUUACUGUUGUACUUCAAUACAAACCGGGAACGAUUCUGGUAGUGUUGCAAUGUAAUGGUAAUACUGUCCUGACUUUGUCUUUCUAAAACGUGAGGUCCUUAUUAUCUCUUCUGGGAGAUAGUGUAGUUCUGUGUAUUGGCAUGAAAUAAAUUUGCUGAUUUGUUGUAACUCAGAUUUAACUUUUCUGUUCUUAAAACCUGAAAGGCUAAACUAAGUCAAGAGCUGAACAGUGGGUAGGUAUGAGAGCUUCUCCUGUUGUCACAGAAGUGUGGUGAUAGCAUUCUUACUGUUGCGUCACUUAGCAGCCUUUCUGUAUUCAGAGGCUGUGGUGUGAUGAAUGUAAUGUCUGGGGUCAAACCCCGCUUUUCUGUAUCUAAUUCUCUGUUAACAC